GAUGAACGCUAGCUACAGGCUUAACACAUGCAAGUCGAGGGGUAACAAGAGGAAAGCUUGCUUUUCUUGUUGACGACCGGCGCACGGGUGAGUAACGCGUAUCCAACCUGCCUAUAACUAGGGAAUAACCUUGCGAAAGUAAGACUAAUACCCUAUGAUUUCCUUUGAUGACAUCAGAUUAGGAAUAAAGAUUUAUCGGUUAUAGAUGGGGAUGCGUCUGAUUAGCUUGUUGGCGGGGUAACGGCCCACCAAGGCAACGAUCAGUAGGGGUUCUGAGAGGAGGGUCCCCCACAUUGGAACUGAGACACGGCCCAAACUCCUACGGGAGGCAGCAGUGAGGAAUAUUGGUCAAUGGGCGGAAGCCUGAACCAGCCAAGUAGCGUGCAGGAUGACGGCCCUAUGGGUUGUAAACUGCUUUUAUACAGGAAUAAAGUUAGCCACGUGUGGUUAUUUGUAGGUACUGUAUGAAUAAGGACCGGCUAAUUCCGUGCCAGCCGCCGCGGUAA
rnacentral:rRNA from 1 species